rnacentral:lncRNA from 1 species
AUGUCUGCUAAGCAAUUUUCUAACAGGAAAAUCUGGCAUCUCUCACGUGAGGAGAAAUACAGGGGAGGAAAGGAGCACUUAGCUGCUGAGCCUGAACAAGCACAGAAGCAGAGACUCGUGAGCGAUGUCAAACACCAGGUUCUUGGGGAUAUGAAAGAUUUCUGCCCGAGUCUGCCCUGGUCUCCUUUCUUCCAGUCUGAGGAACUGGAGGACUGGACAAGUGGCGUGAACUUCUGGGUAUCCAUGUUGUUACCAACACUGCGGGGGCUGUGUGAAGAACCACUGGAUGGAGAGGUGUCUUCUGCUGUGCUGGGUUAUCCCCUCACUUUGAUCUCCCACUGGUCGCUUUUAGUGUUGGCUGUUGUGGUUCUGAGGAAAAAGAGAAAACAUUCCUCAGCUGAAGAGAAAAUUCAGCACAUGCCUCUGCGAUUGCACCCCAGUGUCCCCAUUUCUCUCCCGGUUAUUCAGCCUGAACGUGCAGGCAGCCUGCCUCGGCCGGUGCUUGUACUGCCCGCGCCCAUCCUGCUGGUCCUGGUUUGCUGGCUAUCUCCCACCUAG